UACGGAGGGUGCAAGCGUUAUCCGGAUUCACUGGGUUUAAAGGGUGCGUAGGUGGGCAGGUAAGUCAGUGGUGAAAUCUCCGAGCUUAACUCGGAAACUGCCAUUGAUACUAUCUGUCUUGAAUUUUCUGGAGGUGAGCGGAAUAUGUCAUGUAGCGGUGAAAUGCUUAGAUAUGACAUAGAACACCCAUUGCGAAGGCAGCUCACUAAGCCAUAACUGACGCUGAUGCACGAAAGCGUGGGGAGCAAACAGG
rnacentral:rRNA from 1 species